rnacentral:rRNA from 1 species
UACAGAGGUCUCAAGCGUUGUUCGGAUUCAUUGGGCGUAAAGGGUGCGUAGGCGGCGCGGUAAGUCGGGUGUGAAAUUUCGAGGCUUAACUUCGAAACUGCAUUCGAUACUGCCGUGCUUGAGGACUGGAGAGGAGACUGGAAUUUACGGUGUAGCGGUGAAAUGCGUAGAUAUCGUAAGGAAGACCAGUGGCGAAGGCGGGUCUCUGGACAGUUCCUGACGCUGAGGCACGAAGGCCAGGGGAGCAAACGGA